UUUAAGCAUGUGACGAGUAGUUGGAAAGUUGUCUAGGAUCUCUUGGGGUAUUAUAAUAUCUCCCCCUUGGGAUAGUUCAUCCCUGAAUGACAUUUUCUGGACGGAGAUACUAGGAAGAUUGAGAUUAUGCACUAAAUACUUAUGAGCUUAAUUAUGACUAAAUAGCUGUCUCUUAGACAUGAUGCAUGGGAUGAAUUGAAUUUAUGAAUGCAU
rnacentral:lncRNA from 1 species